rnacentral:rRNA from 1 species
GAUGAACGCUGACAGAAUGCUUAACACAUGCAAGUCAACCUGAAUGUGGGCUUUUAACUUAGGCUUGGGUGGCGGACGGGUGAGUAACGCGUAAAGAACUUGCCUCACAGCUAGGGACAACAUUUGGAAACGAAUGCUAAUACCUAAUAUUAUGAUAAUAGGGCAUCCUAUAAUUAUGAAAGCUAUAAGCGCUGUGAGAGAGCUUUGCGUCCCAUUAGCUAGUUGGAGAGGUAACGGAUCACCAAGGCGAUGAUGGGUAGCCGGCCUGAGAGGGUGAUCGGCCACAAGGGGACUGAGACACGGCCCUUACUCACACGGGAGGGAGGAGUGGGGAAUAGUGGACAAUGGACCGAGAGUCUGAUGCAGCAAUUCUGUGUGCACGAUGAAGUUUGUCGGAAUGUAAAGUGCUUUCAGUUGGGAAGAAACAAAUGACGGUACCAACAGAAGAAGUGACGGCUAAAUACGUG